AAACAACAAGGAGAAUUUCAGCCAGCUCUAGGGAGAAAAGAGGGGAGAAAAACCAAGAGAAAAUAAGAGAAAGAACAAGAAAAAAUUCUGAUUUUGUGCAACCCAUCCAACAAGCUUGGGAGUUAGAGCAAAAGAAAGCUAAUGAACUUGGUUCUUGAAGUGCAGCCUUGUAAACCCACCUUUGGAAGGUAAAGCAGCCUUGAACUCUUGUAAAAGCUUAUAGCAAUUGGGUAGAAAUGUUGUUUUUGAUGUUGUAAGAUGCUAAUAAGGGUUAAUGAUGGUUUAUAUAUCACUUUUGUGGGUUUGUGUGGAAGAUUUGGUGAUUUCUAUGGUUGUUGAGAAAAUUCCAGAAUUGAGAUUUCUUAUGGUUCAGUUCUGCUCGUUUCUGUUUGACCAGGUUAGAGGCCGAAUUGGCAUUAGCACAAAACAUGAAAGUUGUAGAUAAUGAUGUUUUCUAGUUACCUGUAAAUUUUCAACUCAAUCUGAGCUCGGUAGCCUGUGAAAAGACAGAAAUACCCCUGCUACCCUGUUUCUGUCCGAAAUUGAUAAUCAGCUUUGGUAAUUGGUUAGUUUGACUGGGAAUACUACUGAUUUAGUUGUUGAUGUCUUCUUAAGAAUUCUAGCCCUGUAUCUUAGCUUUCAAAUGGCUUUGGAAUUACCUGAAUUGGAGUUGUGUGUGCUGAGAUAUGACUGAAUAAAGCAGGACUGCUAGUUGAUUUCCGCAGUGAAUUUCGAACUGGAAAAUCUGGAGUUGUUUUGGAAAUUUUGACCUAGUUAGGGUGAGAACUGGACUGAGUGGUCUUCAUGAAAGUUAUAGGGAAUGAUAUUUUAGAGGUGCCUGCAAAAUUUCAGGUCAAUCGGAGUGGCGUAGCUUGAGAAAAGACGGAAUUACUAUUGCUGUUCUGGUUUUACCCGAAUGUAAGAAUUGCGCCUGUAAUUGGUUGUUUUGGUCAGGAUUGCUUCUGAAUUAGUUGUUGAGGCCUCCUGAUGAAAUUUAGCCCUGUUUCGUAGCUAUCAGCUGGUUUUGGAAUUUCUGAAUUUGGACUUGGAGAGCCUGAGUUAUGAUGUUUCCGCUAGAAUGCGUUCUGUGAAUCUGUUUUUGUGAUUCUGGUGUAGUUUCUUACAUUUUUGACCUGGUUACACUCGAAACUGGGUUGAGUGACCUUCUGCAAUAUUGUAGCCCUAUCUCUUAGCUUCGAAACGGUGGGUCUUUCACCUUCAUCCGACAAUCGUAGCGCCUUUGGUACCAUUACCGCAAAAUGACGUCAAAACUAUUUUUCUAGUUUUGAGCUUAACUUUCAUUUCCGGACUUUUCCCUAGCCUGACUUGUGCUAGUACUACUUGGAGCUUGCUGAAUGGCUAUUGGAUGAACUUAUUUGUGUGACUUUGGAACUGGCUGAGGAAAUAAUGAAGCCAUGAUGGCUGGGAAAGUAAGCAAAUUUAGGGGAAGUGCUGUCCGAAGUUUUAAAGGGUUUGAUUGCUUUGAGUUUGUGAUCUAAGACUUGGAUUUGAGCAAGGCAAUGUUAUAUGAUGGAUGAUUUCUGAGCCAUGGAGGUGAGUGACCUCAAACUACUUCUAAAGUGAUUUAUGAACCGUUUCUUACAUUAUUUACUUUUGAACUGUUUCCAAAGUUACUUUUGAAAUGUUUUCUUGCAUAUCAUGUGUGCUGGCAUUUGAGUGUGCCUUGCUUGCUAUAUUUCUUGACUUCAUGACUUGUAUUUUGGUUGAUAACGUGUUAAGCGCUUAUAAUGAUUCCAAAACGAGUUUUCGAGGCGAGUGUGUACUUUAUCGCACUCGACCUCGAUAAAUGUGAAAUGUUCGAUUGAAAUGUUACUUGCGCAUGAAUGUAAGCCUUUUGGGCUGAACUGGCCAUUGCCCCUUGUUACCGGUCGUCUUGAGCCAGAAGCGGACUCGGUCAGGCGAUUAGGAACUUGGGUGAACGUUUGGUAUACUCGAGUAUUACCUAUGUAGGUUGGUGGAGCCUGGCCAAAAGCCAGGGACGGGGUGAAUGAAAUGAAAUGAAUGACCAAAUAAGCGAGGAAAUGUCAGGAGAAUGAAUGUAUCCUUUCAUGAAUGUUACUAUCGCUUUCCAUUGUAAAUGUUUCUUGAAUUAUUGAUAAUCCAUAUUUACUGUUUUGCAAAUGAUGUAGUUGUUUCCGGAUUUAUCAUUUAAUUUAUGACAUCAUUGCUAUAUGACAUCAUUGAAAUGAACUAUUGUGAAACCGAGUUGAUUAAUGAUUUUCUGGUUACUCGCUGAGCUUUUAGCUCACCCCAAAAACUAUUUUAUUCCCCUCCACAGGGCUCGUGGCGAAGGAAGGACUUGUAGUACUUGUGCACAUGUAUGGAUGGCCUAAACUUUGUACAAUUUUGGAUUUGGAAUUAUUUUAUGUAUAUUUGGGAUUAGUUUCCGCUGCAUUUGUGACAUGUAAUUAUUGGAGACGGAUGUGUAUUUGUGGACCAUUUGAUGUAUACUUGAGAUUUGUUUUGUAUUUAUUUGAGGACUGUAGUGAACGACU
rnacentral:lncRNA from 1 species